rnacentral:rRNA from 1 species
AAGGGGAGCAAUCCCUGAGUAAAGUGGCGACCGGGUGAGUAACACGUGACUAACCUACCUUCGAGUGGGGGAUAACCUAGGGAAACCUGGGCUAAUACCGCAUAACAUCUUUGGAGUGGAAAUUCUGGAGAUCAAAAGAGCAAUUUGCUUGAAGAGGGGGUCGCGGCUGAUUAGCUAGUUGGCGGGGUAAUGGCCCACCAAGGCUUUGACCGGUAGCCGGCCUGAGAGGGCGCACGGCCACACUGGAACUGAAACACGGUCCAGACUCCUACGGGAGGCAGCAGUGGGGAAUUUUGCGCAAUGGGGGAAACCCUGACGCAGCAACGCCGCGUGGAGGAUGAAGUCCCUUGGG